UACGUAGGUGGCAAGCGUUAUCCGGAUUUAUUGGGCGUAAAGGGAACGCAGGCGGUCUUUUAAGUCUGAUGUGAAAGCCUUCGGCUUAACCGGAGUAGUGCAUUGGAAACUGGGAGACUUGAGUGCAGAAGAGGAGAGUGGAACUCCAUGUGUAGCGGUGAAAUGCGUAGAUAUAUGGAAGAACACCAGUGGCGAAAGCGACUCUCUGGUCUGUAACUGACGCUGAGGUUCGAAAGCGUGGGUAGCAAACAGG
rnacentral:rRNA from 1 species